UCCCUACGGGAGGCAGCAGUGGGGAAUAUUGGGCAAUGGAGGAAACUCUUACCCAGCAAUGCCGCGUGAAUGAAGAAGGUCUUCGGAUUGUAAAGUUCUUUAAUUGGGGACGAAAAAAAUGACGGUACCCAAGGAAUAAGCCCCGGCUAACUACGUGCCAGCAGCCGCGGUAAUACGUAGGGGGCAAGCGUUAUCCGGAUUUACUGGGUGUAAAGGGAGCGUAGACGGCCAGACAAGUCAGAAGUGAAAGCCCAGGGCUCAACCCUGGGACUGCUUUUGAAACUGCCGGGCUGGAGUGCAGGAGG
rnacentral:rRNA from 1 species